UCCUUCCAGCAAAAUGUACUGCCAUCAGUUUCAGAAGUUUUCUUCGAAAGUCAGAGAAAUUCUUUUGCAAGUGAAUGUACAGUGGAAUCUAUAGUGAGUAGAAGCAGGGACUCACUGGUUUCAAAUGAACCAAUUAAAAGCCAGCAAGUUGAGCAGAGUUUUCAGUCCACAUAUGACAGCAUGAAUGAUGAGUCUGAUCUCAAUAGCGCCCUCUAUAAUAGCGUCAGGAAUUCAGUUGAAGCAUUGAAUAACAGUAAAGAAUUCAGAAGCAGUAAAGUAAGGCCCACCUGACUCUUGACCUUGAUCCUGAUGGUGAACCUACUCAAACUGAGGUUGAAAGAAUUGAGAUGUGGGAUAAAUCUGUGAAACAAAAUUACAAGCCAGGAAAACGUGCAAGCAGUGCGUAAGCUCGCUAUUCAACAUCAAUGAUGAAAGAUACGACCAGCAUUGGAAGAGCUGCAGUCCUGUGAUGAUCCAAAUGGGCAACAGUUGGCUGGCUAAUUACUAUGAAGGAGAUGAGACAAUUUAUGCCACUAAAUCCACCCAGCAGCCCUCAGCAAGGCAGAAACCCUUGGGGGUCACACAUAGGCUUAACCUAGUGAGCCUUGGACACACCCGCGCAUAGUGGUUCCAGGAUUUCCAAGUUCAAACAUCUUAUUGAUUUCUACUCGUAUGUUAAUAUGAAAGAAAUGGUCUUCAAUGGAGAAUUUGGUUACGGAAACCAAAAAGAACAAUUGGAGACAGCAAAAUAUACCACAAUCUAUUUCAGAAGUUUUGCACGAAAGACAGAAAAAUUCAUUUAUAUACGAAAGCACAGUAAAGUCUAUGGUGAGUAGAAGCAGGGCCUCGCUGGUUUCAGAUGAAACAAUUAAAAGCCAGCAAGUUGAGCAGAGUACCCAGUCCACAUAUGACAGCAUGAAUGAUGAGUCUAAUCUCAAUAGCGCCCUCUAUGAUAGUCAGGAAUGCAGUUGAAACAUUGAAUAGUAACAGUAUAGAGGUAUUUAUGGUGAACAUAAUUUUCGACGCCAUGCCAGACCAUAAUAUAAAUAUACAAGUUUUCAAUAAAACAUUGCUCUAAUCUGGAAUACAGUCCACUCCACCUGAUUUUUUUUACUAGAUUUAAGGUGAGUGAUUUUCAUACCCAAGGUGCUCUAUUUUUUUCACACCCCUGAAGAGCAGUUUAGGUGAGUGAUGGUGUAUGGGAGUGCAAUCGCUUGCCUCAAAUCACAAGCCCAGCACUUAAAAUCUUCUUUCAACCAGAUUUAUAUUUUAAAAUAUCAAUUUUUAUCAACUAUAGAACUGCAUCCAUCCUCGGUAACACAUUUAGCCAAUCAAUUGAUUUUUUUUUUUUUUUGGUAGAAUAUGUUGCGCAUGUUACAAAAAUACAUGAUAAUAAACUGUAAUUGGAGUACUGCGUGGUACAUCUUCACAAAUAUGAUGAGAAAACAACUGUCUUUGUUGUUAAAUAUUGCACUGAUA